ACUCCUACGGGAGACAGCAGGUGGGAAUAUUGCACAAUGGGCGCAAGCCUGAUGCAGCCAUGCCGCGUGUGUGAAGAAGGCCUUCGGGUUGUAAAGCACUUUCAGUGGGGAGGAAAGGUUGAUGGUUAAUACCUAUCAGCUGUGACGUUACCCACAGAAGAAGCACCGGCUAACUCCGUGCCAGCAGCCGCCGGUAAUACGGAGGGUGCAAGCGUUAAU
rnacentral:rRNA from 1 species